GAUGAACGCUGGCGGCGUGCCUAAUACAUGCAAGUCGAACGAAACUUCUUUAUCACCGAGUGCUUGCACUCACCGAUAAAGAGUUGAGUGGCGAACGGGUGAGUAACACGUGGGCAACCUGCCCAAAAGAGGGGGAUAACACUUGGAAACAGGUGCUAAUACCGCAUAACCAUAGUUACCGCAUGGUAACUAUGUAAAAGGUGGCUAUACUACCGCUUUUGGAUGGGCCCGCGGCGCAUUAGCUAGUUGGUAGGGUAAAGGCUUACCAAGGCAAUGAUGCGUAGCCGAAUUGAGAGGUUGAUCGGCCACAUUGGGACUGAGACACGGCCCAAACUCCUACGGGAGGCAGCAGUAGGGAAUCUGCCACAAUGGGCGAAAGCCUGAUGGAGCAACGCCGCGUGGGUGAAGAAGGUCUUCGGAUCGUAAAACCCUGUUGUUAGAGAAGAAAGUGCGUGAGAGUAACUGUUCACGUUUCGACGGUAUCUAACCAGAAAGCCACGGCUAACUACG
rnacentral:rRNA from 1 species